rnacentral:rRNA from 1 species
AUUGAACGCUGGCGGCAGGCCUAACACAUGCGAGUCGAGCGGAUGAAGGGAGCUUGCUCCUGGAUUCAGCGGCGGACGGGUGAGUAAUGCCUAGGAAUCUGCCUGGUAGUGGGGGAUAACGUCCGGAAACGGGCGCUAAUACCGCAUACGUCCUGAGGGAGAAAGUGGGGGAUCUUCGGACCUCACGCUAUCAGAUGAGCCUAGGUCGGAUUAGCUAGUUGGUGGGGUAAAGGCCUACCAAGGCGACGAUCCGUAACUGGUCUGAGAGGAUGAUCAGGCACACUGGAAAUGAGAAAAGGGCCCGACCCCCAAGGGAGGCAGCAGGGGGGAAUAUUGGAAAAUGGGCGAAAGCCUGAACCAGCCACGCCGCGUGGGUGAAGAAGGUCUUCGGAUUGUAAAACACUUUUAGUUGGGAAGAAAGGGAGGAAGGUAAAACCUUGACGUUUUGACGGUACCCAAAGAAAAAGCCACGGCUAACUUCGUG